CGAAUAAAGGCUCUUUGCUUUUGCAUUGGUGUUGGCUCCUUGGUGGUCUUCUGGGAUUCGCGACUUUGGGCACAACAUUUGGGGGCUUGUCCGGGAUCCGAGAGACCCCCAGGACUCCCGACCCAGAGGGCCCUGUGCCAGCUGAAAUAUCCGAAUUUCCUUAUGUCUACUGUCUUGCAGUAAGCUCUCAUCAGAUCUUUAACCAUUGUCAUUUGUAAGGCUUUUGCCAUUUAUAGUCACUGUUUUAUUACUCCUACACUAGUAAAGAACUAGAUUUCAGCAGAACAGGUAUUGGUUACAUAGGAUUAAGUGAACUAAGGAAGAUGGUUUUGUGACUUUUUGUUUCAGAUGUUGCUGAUAAAGUGUUUUAAGCUUUUUCUCUUAAGCUGACAACAGUUUCAUGAAUGACAAUACCUUUAUAAGCAGAAUUGAAACAUUUAUCUUUCUCUCUACCUGACCCCUCAAGAAUUUAAAAGCUUUCAGUAUUUUUAUGUUUCAUGGCAGUAUGUUUAUUUGCAUAUGUUCAAUAAGAACCUGCAUUCCUUGUAAGAGGACCAAUUAAAAAAGCAGGUUAUACUACCAAGGCUUUGACUGGAAUGUCAUACCUGAGAGACACGUGCAUAAACUCAGAUAUGGACAGCUUUAAGGAACUAAGGUUGACUUUAUAAAGCCAACAAAGCCCCUUGGAAGAACUGGCCUGGUAACUUGCUUACAGGUUCCCAGCAGCCUUACCAGGUGGGUAAGAAAGGUCACUUCCUGGCAGGUUCAGGAACCUCAAGAUGUCUCGGGGACCCCGAGAAGAGGAGAAUUCACCCAAAUCUACAGGUACUGCAGGCAAAACCUGAUGGCAAGUCUGGCUUGGCUGUCUGGCCUCAAGAGGCCUUGAAAAGUUCAAUCUGAAAUUCCUUACAAAAAGUUCCAGCAAGGCACGUUUAAAAGAGCCUAUGUAAUCAAUUGCUCUUCUUGCUGCACUUAUGCAAAUAAUCAAGCCAACUGUUAAUUGUUUUCUUGAUCUGGCUAAUUCUAAUAAAAAUAAGGGUGAUUUUAGAGAAAAGUGUUUCCAUAAUGCUGUCUUAUCUAUACUAAAUCCUAAUAUCCAGAAUUCUAGUUUCCCCAUAAUACCUGAUUAUGAUUCUCAAAUAGAGUCUUCAUAUUUCUAGUUCUCAUAUUCAGCCAUGCAUUCUUAAUCUCAUCAAGUUUGUCCUUCCAGAAUAGAAAAUCCAACUCCAGAUGUUGCUACUUAACCUAAUAACACAAUUUGUUUUAUCUUGCCUAGAAGCCACAAAACUUCAAAUAGUCAUAGAAAUGAAACCCAGAAUAGAAGUGCCAACCUUCUGAGGCCCUCUCAACUGACCAGUGAUGGAGACCUAGCUGCACUCUUUACUGUGCCCCCUUCUCAGCACGAAGCAGCCAGAGCGGUCAUCGCCCCUUUUCCCUAGCAGCAGCUAGGGUCUCUAUCUGUAGAGGGGAGAAUGAGACAGGGACCAUAGUCUUAGACAGAAUAAGGUGAGAGCCUCUAGAGAAAGCAAGGCAGUAAUUUUGCAAGCUGAGCAAUUGACUUAGCAUGCAGAGCCAGCUGUAGAUGGCAUAGUAAAAGGCAGGAUUCUUUAGCAAAUAAGACAAUAUCUCAGCCCACCUUAGAGGCUGGGCACAGAGUCUUUUGAUGUGCGCCUGAACCAAGGCGCCUGUGUCCCAGAGAGAAAUCAAGGCAGGAAAUUAUCUUUAAUAUUCAAGGACCCCUUGCCAUCCUAGUCCUUUUACUAACCCUUGGGCCCUGUAUCAUCAACAGGCUGGUCCAGAUUGUCAGAGACUACAUGGGGGCCGUCCAACUCAUAGUCCUCCAUGCUCAAUACAAGCCCCUAGUAAUCUUGUUACUCCUGCUUACCUUUAGACCAUGUAUCCUCAAUAAACUGAUAACUUUAAUUAAAGAUAGAAUUAACAGUCCAGCUAAUGGUGCUAAGACAACAGUAUCAGCCUUUAUCUCCUUACAACUGCAAAACCUUAUUAGACCCAUGAUUGGGUCCCUUCUUAGGAUCCAGAGAAAGGGGGGUAUGAAAGGGCAAGCU